UCGAGAAUAUUUAGCAAUGGACGAAAGUCUGACUAUGCGACGCCGCGUGCAGGAUGAAGGUCUUCGGAUUGUAAACUGCUUUUGUUAGGGGAGAAACCUGAAACGUUAACAGCGUUUCAGCUGACGGUACCUGACGAGUAAGCCACGGCAAACCCUGUGCCAGCAGCCGCGGUAAUACAGGGGUGGCAAGCGUUACUCGGAAUUAUUGGGUGUAAAGGGCAGGUAGGUGGCUCUAUAAGUGAGGGGUGAAAUCCUGCGGUUCAAUCGCGGAACAGCCUUUCAAACUGCAGAGCUUGAGCGUGACAGAGGAAGAUGGAAUUCCUGGUGUAAGGGUGAAAUCUGUAGAUAUCAGGAAGAACACCAACGGCGAAGGCAAUCUUCUGGGUCACUACUGACACUGAGCUGCGAAAGCUAGGGGAGCAAACAGA
rnacentral:rRNA from 1 species